CCAAGAUGGCCGACGAGGAAGGCGGCUGCGCUGCGGGGCGGGAGCUGGAGCUGGAGCCGGGGCAGGGGCCUGGGUCAGAGUUGGAGCCGGGAGAAGAGUUUGAGAUUGUGGACCGAAGCCAGCUGCCCGGCCCGGGCGACCUACGGAACGCAACGAGGCCGCGGGCGGCGGAGGGCUGGUCGGCGCCCAUCCUGACCCUGGCACGCAGGGCUACCGGGAACCUGUCGGCGAGCUGCGGGAGCGCGCUGCGCGCGGCCGCGGGGCUGGGCGGCGGGGACAGCGGGGACGGCACGGCGCGCGCAGCGUCUAAGUGCCAGAUGAUGGAGGAGCGUGCCAACCUAAUGCACAUGAUGAAACUCAGCAUCAAGGUCUUGCUGCAAUCGGCUCUGAGCCUGGGCCGCAGCCUGGAUGCGGAGCAUGCGCCCUUGCAGCAGUUCUUUGUGGUGAUGGAGCACUGCCUCAAACACGGGCUGAAAGUUAAGAAGAGUUUUAUUGGCCAAAAUAAAUCUUUCUUUGGUCCUUUGGAGCUGGUGGAGAAACUUUGUCCAGAAGCGUCAGAUAUAGCGACUAGUGUCAGAAAUCUUCCAGAAUUAAAGACAGCUGUGGGAAGAGGCCGAGCUUGGCUUUAUCUUGCACUCAUGCAAAAGAAACUGGCAGAUUAUCUGAAAGUGCUUAUAGACAAUAAACAUCUCUUAAGCGAGUUCUAUGAGCCUGAGGCUUUAAUGAUGGAGGAAGAAGGGAUGGUGAUUGUCGGUCUGCUGGUAGGACUCAAUGUUCUCGAUGCCAAUCUCUGCUUAAAAGGAGAAGACUUGGAUUCUCAGGUUGGAGUAAUAGAUUUUUCCCUCUACCUUAAGGAUGUGCAGGAUCUUGAUGGUGGGAAGGAGCAUGAAAGAAUUACUGAUGUCCUUGAUCAAAAAAAUUAUGUGGAAGAACUUAACCGGCACUUGAGCUGUACAGUUGGGGAUCUUCAAACCAAGAUAGAUGGCUUGGAAAAGACUAAUUCAAAGCUUCAAGAAGAGCUUUCAGCUGCAACAGACCGAAUUUGUUCACUUCAAGAAGAACAGCAGCAGUUAAAAGAACAAAAUGAAUUAAUUCGAGAGAGAAGUGAAAAGAGUGUAGAGAUAACAAAACAGGAUACCAAAGUUGAGCUGGACACUUACAAGCAAACCCGACAAGGUCUGGAUGAAAUGUAUAGUGAUGUGUGGAAGCAGCUAAAAGAGGAGAAGAAAGUCCGGUUGGAACUGGAAAAAGAACUGGAGUUACAAAUUGGAAUGAAAACCGAAAUGGAAAUUGCAAUGAAGUUACUGGAAAAGGACACCCACGAGAAGCAGGACACACUAGUUGCCCUCCGCCAGCAGCUGGAAGAAGUCAAAGCGAUUAAUUUACAGAUGUUUCACAAAGCUCAGAAUGCAGAGAGCAGUUUGCAGCAGAAGAAUGAAGCCAUCACAUCCUUUGAAGGAAAAACCAACCAAGUUAUGUCCAGCAUGAAACAAAUGGAAGAAAGGUUGCAGCACUCGGAGCAGGCGAGGCAGGGGGCCGAGGAGCGGAGCCACAAGCUACAGCAGGAGCUGGGCGGGAGGAUCAGCGCCCUGCAGCGGCAGCUCUCCCAGCUCCAUGAGCAAUGCUCAAGUCUAGAGAAAGAACUGAAAUCAGAAAAAGAGCACAGACAGGCUCUUCAGCGCGAAUUACAGCACGAAAGAGACACUUCCUCUCUACUCAGGACGGAGCUACAACAAGUGGAAGGAUUGAAAAAGGAGUUGCGGGAGCUUCAGGACGAGAAGGCAGAGCUGCAGAAGAUCUGCGAGGAGCAGGAACAAGCGCUCCAGGAAAUGGGCCUGCACCUCAGCCAGUCCAAGCUGAAGAUGGAAGAUAUAAAAGAAGUGAACCAGGCACUGAAGGGCCACGCCUGGCUGAAAGAUGACGAAGCGACGCACUGUAGGCAGUGUGAGAAGGAGUUCUCCAUUUCCCGGAGAAAGCCUAGCUCUGGAAAAGAGGAAGCCACAGCCACCCCCGACGCCCCACCCCGAGUUUCAGGCAGUGCCUUGCAGUGAGCUCAGAGCUAGAAACCACGGCCUGAGGCUGCCUGAGAUCACGUGUGUCUACAAGGCCUGGCUGUUCCCAUCUGUGGAACCACAGAAGCAGAGGCUGCACAGCACCACUGCCGGAACUGUGGCCACAUCUUCUGCAACACCUGCUCCAGCAACGAGCUGGCCCUGCCCUCCUACCCCAAGCCGGUGCGAGUGUGUGACGGCUGCCACACCCUGCUCCUGCAGCGCUGCUCCUCCACGGCCUCCUGAGCGUCCGUCCUCGGGAGCACAGCCUCGCGGACAGCGCCAAACCCUGUGGGUCUCCAGGUGCUUGGGAAAUGUGUUCUUUCCCAAGAAAUCGAAGGAAAGAAUCCAAUUUCUCGCCCGGCCUCUGGCACUCCAGAGGACAGCGUGCCAGAACCAGCUGCUCUCACCUGGCCGUGAUUCGUUCCGAAUUAACUCCUCUGGAUGGAAACGUCCAUCUUACUUGGUUAUAUCACGGCUCUGGUUCAGAUACAACUUCGUGAUUUUGCUACUAUCAUUUUUCACUUUUCAAAGAAUUUAACCUGUUUUACAGCAGUUCAGUUCUGCUAGUGAGUGGUUUCCCUCUCCCACCUCCCUUCUAAAAACCUGACUUGUGUACAGCGUUUAACAAACAUGGGGUCUGUCAGUGUGCCUUCUCUGCUUCAGUCAAGAAAUCACCAUUUCAUGCCCUUGUGACUACCUAUCGUUGGUCCAGCAAUAAAAUCAUUUAUUUUUCACUUUGGUA